GACUGACCAUUAAUCUUGUGACCUCCAUAGACCCUUCCUGAUGUCAAGAAAAUGGUCUAAUCGUACACAAAACUCAAGGUAACAAUGUGUCCCAUUACUGAAGGGGUUAAGUGUGCGUGUGUACGAGUCUUAAGUAAAGAUAAGAGUGUAUGUGUGUAUGUAGGUGACAAGUAUGUGUAGAGGCGUAAUACAAGACCACAAUAGAGGGUGAAGGCAGAGUGUGGGUGUGUGUAGGAGUAUAGAAGGAAGAGAUUCGUGUUGAGGGUUCGUGGUGUGGGUAUGGAUGGGUGUGGGUGUGGUAACAAGGUCAUGGGUGUGGUUUUCGUGGUGUUAUGGUGUUGUGAAGGUGUUGCGUAGAUGGGGUGUGGCGCGCUCUCUCUCUCGUCUGUGUGUGUGUGUGUGUGUGUGUAAGAGUGGUCAUCCCUCAAGCUUCAUCGAUCGACGCUAUUAAAGAGGAAGCUGAGAGAGAGAGAGAGAGAGAGAGAGAGAGAGAGAGAGAGAGAGAGAGAGAGAGAGAGAGAGAGAGAGCAUAGCAUUGCAUGGCUGUAUUAAGACAGAGGGUGUCGGCAUGGGCCAUGCAGCAGCAGCAGCAGUGUGUGUGUGGGUGAGCACCAUCUGAGACAAGAUAGGGCGCCGCCAGCUGUGCCCGCCUGUCGUGGCGUGCCGUAUACCUGCCACUGCGGGAGUGCGAGGGAGGGUGGGAGAGGGCAGUGUGUUGUGGGUGUGGCGGCAGGUCAUCGUGUGGUGGUGGUCGCCUUGUUGCAUCACACACACAUACACACACACACACACACACAGUUCACAGUGUCAAGACUUGAGGAGUCUUUGCAAGAAAGGAUUUGUCUUUAAUUUGUUUCUUGAAGUAAUCAAAAUAAUAACUAGGCACGGUUUGCCUUACUAUUAUUAUUAUUAUUACUAUUAUUAUUAUUAUUAUUAUUAUUAUUAUUAUUAUUAUUAUUAUUAUUAUUAUUAUUAUUAUUGUCAUCAUCAUCAUCAUUAUUAUUAUUGUUUUCUGAAGAGGACGCGCGGACCAUUACUUUGUGGUGUGCUGUCUCAACUAUCCUGAGUGUCGGCAGGGAUGUCACGCCGUCACCUCACCACCACUUAUUUAUGUAUUUAUGUGUACCUCACCACUGUCACCAUCACCACCAUCAUCACCACAACCAUCAUCACCAUCACCAUCACCAUAGCCUCACAUGUGUAUCACCGUGUGUGUGUGUGUGUGUGUACAUUAAUUAUAUCCCGUGCAGGGAAAUAUUACCUUCAUUUGUUUGGUUUAUGUUUAUAUGGAAAAUAAAGUGAACAUUUAUUACUGA